rnacentral:rRNA from 1 species
CCUACGGGAGGCAGCAGUGGGGAAUAUUGGGCAAUGGGCGCAAGCCUGACCCAGCAACGCCGCGUGAAGGAAGAAGGCUCUCGGGUUGGAAACUUCUUUUCUCAGGGACGAAGAAAGUGACGGUACCGGAGGAAUAAGCCACGGCUAACUACGUGCCAGCAGCCGCGGUAAUACGUAGGUGGCAAGCGUUAUCCGGAUUUAUUGGGUGUAAAGGGCGUGUAGGCGGGAGCGCAAGUCAGAUGUGAAAACUCAGGGCUCAACCCUGAGCCUGCAUUUGAAACUGUGUUUCUUGAGUGCUGGAGAGGCAAUCGGAAUUCGGGGUGUAGCGGUGAAAUGCGUAGAUAUACGGAGGAACACCAGUGGCGAAGGCGGAUUGCUGGACAGUAACUGACGCUGAGGCGCGAAAGCGUGGGGAGCAAACAGGAUUAGAUACCCUAGUAGUC